rnacentral:rRNA from 1 species
UCAGACGAUGCGUCAUGCAUAUCAAUAAGCGGAGGAAAAGAAACUAACAAGGAUUCCCCUAGUAACGGCGAGUGAAGCGGGAAGAGCUCAAAUUUGAAAUCUUAAAGGGUUUCCCUUUACGAAUUGUAGUUUAAAGAAGUGUUUUCUGUUGAGGUUUUGGUAAAAGUUCUUUGGAAUAGGACAUCAUAGAGGGUGAGAAUCCCGUAUUUGACCUUUACUUUCAACUUUGUGAUACACUUUCAAAGAGUCGGAUUGUUUGGGAAUGCAGUCCAAAAUGGGUGGUAAAUUUCAUCUAAAGCUAAAUAUUGGCGAGAGACCGAUAGCGAACAAGUACCGUGAGGGAAAGAUGAAAAGAACUUUGAAAAGAGAGUUAAACAGUACGUGAAAUUGUCAAAAGGGAAGCGUUUGACACCAGUGUUGUUUUUCUGAAAAUCAAUUAAAGAACUGUUUAUGCUAAGCUGUUUAGACUUUAUCAGCUAUCUGUUUAGUUUUGAGCUUUUCUUUAAUGCACUUUUCAGUUAACAAGUCAACAUCAAUUUCUUUUGCUGUAAAAAAGCUUGAGGAAGGUGGCUUGAGAUUCGUCUUAAGUGUUUAUAGCCUCUUGCCUAUGCAGUCGGAGAGAUUGAGGUCUGCAGCGUAGAUCCUUCGGGGCUAAAUGCAUUUGUGCUAAGUUAUAGCAUUUUAUAGACAACUUGUUGACUAUGAUUUGUCUUGCAGCUUACUCGCUUAUGUUAUUUUACCUACGCUUAGGAUGUUGACACACGCGCGUGCUCG